CAAUAGCGUAUAUUAAAGUUGUUGCGGUUAAAAAGCUCGUAGUUGGAUUUCUGUUGAGGUCGGCCGGUCCCUACUUCGUAGGCGUAUCUGGUUCAGCCUUGGCAUCCUCCUAGGGAACGGUACUGCUCUUAACUGAGUGGUCCGGUAUCUAGGACUUUUACUUUGAGGAAAUUAGAGUGUUUACGGCAGGCAAUCGCCUUGAAUAUGUUAGCAUGGAAUAAUAAUAUAGGACCUUGGUUCUAUUUUGUGGUUUCUAGGACUAAGGUAAUGAUUAAGAGGGACAAUUGGGGGCAUCCGUAUUUUCGUUGUCAGAGGUGAAAUUCUUGGAUUUACGAAAGACGAACAACUGCGAAAGCACUUGCCAAGAGUGUUUUUCAUUAAUCAAGACGAAAGUUAGAGGAUCGAAGACGAUCAGAU
rnacentral:rRNA from 1 species